rnacentral:rRNA from 1 species
UACGGGGGGGGCAAGCGUUGUUCGGAAUUACUGGGCGUAAAGGGUUCGUAGGUGGCCAACUAAGUCAUACGUGAAAUCCCUCAGCUUAACUGGGGAACUGCGUCUGAUACUGGUUGGCUUGAGUGCAGGAGAGGAACGCGGAAUUCCAGGUGUAGCGGUGAAAUGCGUAGAUAUCUGGAGGAACACCGGUGGCGAAGGCGGGUCUCUGGGCAACAACUGACGCUGAGGAGCGAAAGCGUGGGGAGCGAACAGG